rnacentral:rRNA from 1 species
UUAUGUGAUCGUCUCUCGCAUAUCAAUAAGCGGAGGAAAAGAAACUAACAAGGAUUCCCCUAGUAACGGCGAGUGAAGCGGGAAGAGCUCAAAUUUGAGAAUCUUAAAGGGUUUCCCUUUACGAAUUGUAGUUUAAAGAAGUGUUUUCUGUUGAGGUUUUGGUAAAAGUUCUUUGGAAUAGGACAUCAUAGAGGGUGAGAAUCCCGUAUUUGACCUUUACUUUCAACUUUGUGAUACACUUUCAAAGAGGUCGGAUUGUUUGGGAAUGCAGUCCAAAAUGGGUGGUAAAUUUCAUCUAAAGCUAAAUAUUGGCGAGAGACCGAUAGCGGAACAAGUACCGUGAGGGAAAGAUGAAAAGAACUUUGAAAAGAGAGUUAAACAGUACGUGAAAUUGUCAAAAGGGAAGCGUUUGACACCAGUGUUGUUUUUCUGAAAAUCAAUUAAAGAACUGUUUAUGCUAAGCUGUUUAGACUUUAUCAGCUAUCUGUUUAGUUUUGAGCUUUUCUUUAAUGCACUUUUCAGUUAACAAGUCAACAUCAAUUUCUUUUGCUGUAAAAAAGCUUGAGGAAGGUGGCUUGAGAUUCGUCUUAAGUGUUUAUAGCCUCUUGCCUAUGCAGUCAGGAGAGAUUGAGGUCUGCAGCGUAGAUCCUUCGGGGCUAAAUGCAUUUGUGCUAAGUUAUAGCAUUUUAUAGACAACUUGUUGACUAUGAUUUGUCUUGUAGCUUACUCGCUUAUGUUAUUUUACCUACGCUUAGGAUGUUGAUCUACAGAGCGAGAGU